GGAGUUUGUAGCUCAGUGGUAGAGCACUUGCCUAGCAUGUGUGGGGUACUGGGUUCAAUCCCCAGCACCA
rnacentral:tRNA from 1 species